CGAUACUUCCUUUACAGGUUGGGCCAAUUACCCCUUGACGUUACCCGCCGGGGAAUUCCGGCCUAACAGUAUAACUUCAAAGGAUUUAAUGGAUAUGGUGCAAACGUUGUCCGGAAUUAUUGGGCGUAAAGAGCUCGUAGGCGGCUUGUCGCGUCUGCUGUGAAAACCCGAGGCUCAACCUCGGGCUUGCAGUGGGUACGGGCAGGCUAGAGUGCGGUAGGGGAGAUUGGAAUUCCUGGUGUAGCGGUGGAAUGCGCAGAUAUCAGGAGGAACACCAAUGGCGAAGGCAGAUCUCUGGGCCGUAACUGACGCUGAGGAGCGAAAGCAUGGGGAGCGAACAGGAUUAGAUACCCUGGUAGUCCAUGCCGUAAACGUUGGGAACUAGAUGUAGGGCCUGUUCCACGGGUUCUGUGUCGUAGCUAACGCAUUAAGUUCCCCGCCUGGGGGAGUACGGCCGCAAGGCUAAAACUCAAA
rnacentral:rRNA from 1 species